rnacentral:rRNA from 1 species
AUGUUGAUGCAAGACUACUUCGCGAAGAAUCCUACAUAUCCACCACACCUCUACUAAAGAAGGUACCGAAUGCGCCAAUCCCACUUUGUGAAAAUUGUUCAAGCUUGCGAGGCAAAUUGCUGGUAUUUCACUCAAAGAAGAAAUGUUGCGGGCUUAAAGGGAUUUAGUUCAGAUCAAAAAAUCUCACUAGCUAUCAGGUGA